AGUCACUGACAUUAGAUACCCGCGUAGUCCCAGCCGUAAACAAUGUGCGUUAGGCAUGUCGGUAACCACGUGUUACUGAUGUGCCGAAGAGAAAUCGUGAAACGCACCACCUGGGAAGUACGGUCGCAAGGCUGAAACUUAAAGGAAUUGGCGGGGAGCACCACAACAGGUGGAGCCUGCGGUUUAAUUGGAUUCAACGCCGGACAUCUCACCGGAUAAGACAGCUGAAUGAUUGUCAAUCUGAAGGUUUACAUGACUAGCUG
rnacentral:rRNA from 1 species